GAAACUAGGCAUAUGGAAACACGUCGUUUUCUAUUUCAUCAUUCUUCGCCGUCGCGAUAUCGACUCCAACUCUGGGGGUUUGAUUCAUCUUCUUCUUCCUAUCCAAAAUUUUACCAGUUUCACAUUCAUCUUCUUAAAUUCUCCAUUGAUUCAAUCACCCAUGAUCUAUAUUUAUUGUCUGCUUCGUUCUUCCAAGGCGGUGGAGAUCUCAGUAUAAAAGGUUAACAUCACUACUCUCGAAGUUUAUCUUACCAAUCUAUUCAAACCGAUAAAUCCAUUUAUGGGAGGUGAGGAAUGUUAGGCGGGUGAUGAAUCCUAUUAUUAUUUAUUAUUAUACACUCUUCUUCUCCAUAGAUUCCUGCGAAGAUCAAAGAGUCAUGGCAACCUCCCAGCUAUAGAUGUCCGAUCUGAAGCCGGGCCUUUGUUCUCAGAUCUUGGUCAUCAUCGCCUCCUCCGUUUCUGGGAAGCUCUGAAGAAAGCUGGAUUUGCUAUGAAGAAACAGAUGUUGGAUGAUAGAAGGUUCCCAAAUUUGCAUCUCAACUUGCAGUGCAGGUGAUUCCACAUGCAGAACAAGUAUUUCCAAGAGUGAAAGAAAAAUGUUCCACGAAGCAUUGGUUUCUUACAGAAAAUAUCAAUUGUUUGGAGGAGUUGAUUGGUCGGUUAAGACAUUUACACGAGAAUGUAGGUAUCAUUGCGAACCAUGUUACUGCAAUCCAAGCUGGUUUGGAUAGUUGGCAAGCUAAGCAAAUUAAUAGAAAUCUCUUUUACCUCUAUCAAUCAUCACCGGAGUUUUUAGAUGAACGUUGGAGGAGUUCCUUGGACAGGGCAAAACAAACCUGAGCUAGGGUGUGGAUAACAGUCCUGGAGAUGAUAUGAAACAUUUGCUUCUUUUGAGAGCCCUCUAGGUGAACCCAACUCAAUUACCAAGCAUUCCCUUACACCUGAUGAUAGUACGUUUGGACCAAAAUAGUCGAUGCAGCCAACAUUAGUCACUGCACAGCAGACUUCCGCAGGUGAUAAUCGUGCUGAUACACAAGGUUCAACAAUAAGCAACCCAACCAAGAAGGCCCGUAAAGCUUAGUAUUAUCAGUGAAUCACUAACAAGAAACCACCCACUCUUAUACCAUGCUUAAUCCAAGGGUUUGGACACUUAGUCCACCAUUAUCUUUACAUGUGUUUGUUGCAUCCUUUGAUAUUUUUAAAAUAUAAAUUAUUAUUAGGUUCUACAGAUUCUUAGUAAUGUGCACUUUUGAAAAUUUCAAACUUUGUUAUUUAUCAAUCUACCUUAUAUGUUCAAUC